rnacentral:rRNA from 1 species
AUUGAACGCUGGCGGCAUGCCUUACACAUGCAAGUCGAACGGUAACGCGGGGCAACCUGGCGACGAGUGGCGAACGGGUGAGUAAUGUAUCGGAACGUGCCCAGUUGUGGGGGAUAACUGCUCGAAAGAGCAGCUAAUACCGCAUACGACCUGAGGGUGAAAGCGGGGGAUCGCAAGACCUCGCGCAAUUGGAGCGGCCGAUAUCAGAUUAGGUAGUUGGUGGGGUAAAGGCUCACCAAGCCGACGAUCUGUAGCUGGUCUGAGAGGACGACCAGCCACACUGGGACUGAGACACGGCCCAGACUCCUACGGGAGGCAGCAGUGGGGAAUUUUGGACAAUGGGCGCAAGCCUGAUCCAGCCAUGCCGCGUGCGGGAAGAAGGCCUUCGGGUUGUAAACCGCUUUUGUCAGGGAAGAAAAGGCUCCUGUUAAUACCGGGGGCUCAUGACGGUACCUGAAGAAUAAGCACCGGCUAACUACGUGCCAGCCGCCGCGGUAA